AUGAAACACGUCCGCAAACCGACACAAUAACCAGUAUUGAGACUGUACUUUAGACGACAAAAAAUACCGAUACCGAUACCGUAACCGUAACCGAUACCGAUACCAAAUGAACUGUUAAACGUUAACUGUUUUAAAUAUCGUUAACUGUUAAACUCCAUCCAUACACGUUAACCGAUCCGAUCAACGAUAAAUGCAGCUAUUCUUCUAUUUGUGUCAUGUGCUAGUUAUUUGUAGCCGAGUAGCAUGUAACGAGUAACGAGUCACGAGUACCAAGUAACGAGUAAAAAAAUACAACUUCGCUACAAAAAAAAAAAAGAAAAACCUAAAACAUUUAAUUUUCAGUUGAACCAGAGAUCAAUAAUCAAAAGCAUAUUCUUGAAGUAUAAACAAACGAAUGUAAAAAAAAAGAAAGAGUAAACAGUAGCUGCUAAAACUUUUCACUAACUGCUGAGAUUUAACAGUUAUACUUGUUUUGCGCUCAUAUCGUAUCGGAUUUAUUUGUGGCUUACCUCCGCCCCCUCCCACACCCACAACAUACAUACAGUUAG